AACGCGAAGAACCUUACCUGGGCUCGAACGGCUCACGAACCUCCUUGGAAAUAUCGUCUUCCCGCAAGGGACAGUAGUAGAGGUGCUGCAUGGCUGUCGUCAGCUCGUGCCGUGAGGUGUUGGGUUAAGUCCCGCAACGAGCGCAACCCUUACUCGUAGUUGCUACCCGCAAGGGAGAACUCUACGAGGACUGCUCCGGAUAACGGAGAGGAAGGUGGGGAUGACGUCAAGUCAGCACGGCCUUUAUGUCCAGGGCUACACACGUGUUACAAUGCACGGUACAGACUGUUGCGAACCCGCGAGGGGGAGCUAAUCGGAUAAAACCGUGCUCAGUUCGGAUUGCAGUCUGCAACUCGGCUGCAUGAAGCUGGAAUCGCUAGUAAUGGCGUAUCAGAUCGACGCCGUGAAUACGUUCCCGGGCCUUGUACACACCGCGUGUCU
rnacentral:rRNA from 1 species